GAGGGGCAAAAAAAUGAAAAAAUAACAUGGAGGCAGGAAUGGCCUCGCUGGGGCAGGGACAAGGAAGGAAGUGACAUCUAGCACAGCCCCCAAUUCUUAAAGAAACAGAGAUAGGACAGUGAGGAAGAGGGACACCAGAGCGUCGAGAAGCAAAUGAGAGGCGCGGCACAGUCCCUGAGGGCCUCUUCUCUCGUCACCGCAGGAGCCUUCCCCGGGCUGGGGACGCAGAGACGGGAGCAGGCGACGCACCGAAGAUGACGGAGCAAAUCGGGAGCCAGGGCCUCUGCUCUCCGCCAGCCACCAACCCUUUAAAUAUAGAACUCUGACAUGUGAACCCAAAAUACUACACGUGGAUGGAAGAGAAAUCUGCCGGCCUCUCUGACUUUUGGGUCAAAGGGAAGGUGGCCGGGGGGGACACGCACUGUCACAAACUUGCCGAGAAGAAAGUAGCCUUUUUCAUGUGUUUUAUAUCCUUGCAAA